rnacentral:miRNA from 3 species
UGGGGAUGCUGUGAAUGGUUCUU